GCUUGUCUCAAAGAUUAAGCCAUGCAUGUCUAAGUAUAAACUGCUUAUACUGUGAAACUGCGAAUGGCUCAUUAAAUCAGUUAUAGUUUAUUUGAUGGUACCUACUACUCGGAUAACCGUAGUAAUUCUAGAGCUAAUACGUGCGUAAAUCCCGACUCCUGGAAGGGACGUAUUUAUUAGAUUUAAGGCCAACCGAGCUUGCUCGUCUCUUGGUGAAUCAUGAUAACUUCACGAAUCGCAUGGCCUCGCGCCGGCGAUAUUUCAUUCAAAUUUCUGCCCUAUCAACUUUCGAUGGUAAGGUAUUGGCUUACCAUGGUUGCAACGGGUAACGGAGAAUUAGGGUUCGAUUCCGGAGAGGGCGCCUGAGAAAUGGCGACCACAUCCAAGGAAGGCAGCAGG
rnacentral:rRNA from 1 species